rnacentral:rRNA from 1 species
ACAUCCUUUGACAACUCUAGAGAUAGAGUCUUCCCCUUCGGGGGACAAAGUGACAGGUGGUGCAUGGUUGUCGUCAGCUCGUGUCGUGAGAUGUUGGGUUAAGUCCCGCAACGAGCGCAACCCUUAAGCUUAGUUGCCAGCAUUAAGUUGGGCACUCUAAGUUGACUGCCGGUGACAAACCGGAGGAAGGUGGGGAUGACGUCAAAUCAUCAUGCCCCUUAUGAUUUGGGCUACACACGUGCUACGAUGGACAAUACAAAGGGCAGCUAAGCCGCGAGGUCAUGCAAAUCCCAUAAAGUUGUUCUCAGUUCGGAUUGUAGUCUGCAACUCGACUACAUGAAGCUGGAAUCGCUAGUAAUCGUAGAUCAGCAUGCUACGGUGAAUACGUUCCCGGGUCUUGUACACACCGCCCGUCACACCACGAGAGUCUGUAACACCCGAAGCCGGUGGAGUAACCAUUUAUGGAGCUAGCCGUCGAAGGUGGGACAAAUGAUUGGGGUGAAGUCGUAACAAGGUAGCCGUAUCGGAA